rnacentral:lncRNA from 1 species
GGAAACACAUCUGGAAACUCUCGGACUACAGGAAUCUCUUGAAUACAAAUUUCCCUCUUGGUCUUGCAUAGUCAGAGAAAACAACAAGAUUAAGGCACUAGAAGUUAAGAAAACUUGUCAUCAAGGAAUAUGUACUGAAUAGUUUUAUUAAUUUGUAAAUAGCUCCUCGUUAGGAGGAUUAAAUACAACUUUCUUGUUGAAGCAAUCUAUGCUGGCGUGAUACGCCGCUAGCCAAUCCAUUCCUAAGAUUACAUCAAAAUCCCCCGUGUCUAACCCUAUCAGGUCUAUACUCAGCUUCCUAUUUGUUAUCUCCACGGCACAAGCUCUAUAGAUAGCUUCCCCUAGUAGUGUUUCACCCC